CUCAUUUCUACUAUUCUCUCAAACCUAACCCUUGAUUCCUCUGCUCACCUCCUUCUCCGGUCAUCUUCGACAACUUACCUUUUUCAACCCAAGCCUCCAACGAGUCUCUCAUCACCAUGCUCAUCAUCUCUAUGGCCUUCAAGGAUCCUGGGCCAUGUUGAUUUUGACCAAGGGUUUCUUUUUAUGUUACUUAUGGGUUCUCCGGUGUGAUUUUGGGCAAAAUCACACCUGAUACAUCAUGAUCGGUGAAGUUUCAACAGGUUCUUUUGAUUUUUACUUGGGUUUCUUUUUAAAACCCUAAAUCUCUUCUGAAUCUCUCAGAUCUAUGUUAUUUUUAUGCAAUCUUCUACUCUAAUCCAUUUUUACUCCCGUUGAAAAACUAGGAUUUUUGGAGUUCUUUCUAUACUUGUUUCGACUGAUUUCUUUAUGAUUAAACCUUUUUCCUUAUUUAUCUCGACCGAUUCUAAGUUCUUACUACUUUUUAACUAACUCUAUUAAAAAGACCUAAUUUCUUAAAGAUUUUCUUUACUUGUUUUUGUGAGUUUGCAUAAUUUUCUUUACUUGUUCUAUGUGUUAACCUGAUUUUCUUUACUUGUCUCCGUGUGUUAGCUUGAUUUUCUUUACUCUUCUUCUGUGUGUUAGCAUGAUGUUCUCCACUUUGGUUCCGUGUGUUAGCAUGACUUUUCUUUACUUCGUUUUUGUAUGUUAGCAUGCUUACCUGGUUCUUGUUAAUCUCUUGUGGUCACCAUGCUUCGAAUAUGUUCUGAUCACCUCUACAUGACUAUGUUUGCUCAUAUUUUGUUUCUUUCUGCCUAUAUAAUCGACCUUGUUUGUUUCUUAUUUCUAUUCAAUAGUCUCUAUUUAUAUGUUGAGGUAUGCAGAAUCAUGAUUCCCCAUGAUUGAUUCUGAUUGUCCUUAAAUUUUGGUUAUUGAAAGAUUUUCCUUCAAAGUCCUAGAGUUCUACCUGUCUGUUUGAAUUAACUGAUUUCAUUACCUUAUUUACUAUGGUAAUUUGUUUUACUUAGUUUUUCCUUAAUUGGGUCUUUCUGAAUCUGGUCCUAAUUGACUAUUUUAUACUUACUGAAUCUUGACCCUUUCCUUAUUUAAUCAUGCACUGAUUUCCCUUCCUCCCCUUAUAUGGUACUGAAUCUUCUCGUUUGGCAUUGACUCCCUUAACUCAAGGAAGUACUUCCUUGAUUCUCUAGAUGAUUGAUUCUGAGUUCUUAAACUAGUAUACUACUAUGAUUUUUAACUUAUUCCGCUUCCUACUUUCAACUAUAAAUACUAUAAGUCUUUCACAAACAACACACACACUUGGCUUCCAAAAAAACCCUCUCCUACGUAAAUCUAUAUUAUUCUACUACUAUUGGCCAGCUGCAAGCCAGGGCUAAUCGUCUGUAUUAUUUGGUUCUUUCAUUCUGCCUAUUUUGUCUUCUGGUAUGUCCUAGUUUAAUUUAAAGUCUUAACAACAAUAUGUUUCUCUUGUCAUUUCAAUUUAUUUUAUUUCUAGCCUACUUUUCCUUAUGGUUUUAUUGUGAAGUUUGUAGCUAAGCAUGCUAGUAUGACUCCCUCCCUUUAAAUUUAUGUGUUCCCUUAUGUGAGUCAAGCAUGCUCGGACAAUUGAAUUCUUUUACCCACUGUGUAUUUACUACUUUGUGAAUCCCAAAUCUCUAUUCACCUCUAUGUGUUCAUGAUUGGUUUGUGAUUAUGUCAGUGUCAAACUAUCUCUGAGCAUGUCCAUACUAGUCCUGAUACUCCAACUGGAAUUAUGUGUCUGCAGUCAAUGUCUGUGUAUCCCCAAAAACCCCUUGUCCCUUGUGUGAUUGCUGAAUUUAUUUACUUUCUGUGUGUGAUCUUAUCCUGAUGUGUUUGAACUCUGUUUACUAAUCCAACUUCUUUUCAAAAAUCUCUGUUGCCAAUUGCUUUCAAAACAGACCUUUCAGUCCAGUCUUUAAUAAACUUCUUUCAAAUAUGUGUCAUGCACUUUCACUCUACUCCUAGUUAAUAAGUUUUGCCCCCUCUAGUAUGUGUACUUCCCUGGGAUACCCUUUAGAACCCUUGGAACUCUGGCAUACUGAGGCUGUCUUUCCACACUGCACUGGUUCAAUGCUUGGCUAUUAAGUCUAGGUGUAAGCAUUCCCCAGUGUCCUUGAGGCCCUUAGGGGACUUUGAUACACUUAGACUCUGACUUGUCUGUGAAAAUGAGGCUUGAAAGAUCAUUGGAGGCUUUGGGUAACUGUGGCCUGAAUGCAGGCUAUCCAUAGAAUAGCUUCUAUUUGAAAGUCCUAAAUGCUUUUCUUUGACUGUCGC
rnacentral:lncRNA from 1 species